rnacentral:rRNA from 1 species
UACGAAGGGGGCUAGCGUUGCUCGGAAUCACUGGGCGUAAAGCGCACGUAGGCGGAUCUUUAAGUCAGGGGUGAAAUCCUGGAGCUCAACUCCAGAACUGCCUUUGAUACUGAGGAUCUUGAGUUCGGGAGAGGUGAGUGGAACUGCGAGUGUAGAGGUGAAAUUCGUAGAUAUUGGGAAGAACACCGGUGGCGAAGGCGGCUCACUGGCUCGUAUCUGACGCUCAGGCGCGAUAGCGUGGGGAUCAAACAGG